CGUUUAUUUGAUAGUACCUUACUACUUGGAUAACCGUGGUAAUUCUAGAGCUAAUACAUGCUGAAAACCCCAACUUCGGGAGGGGUGUAUAUAUUAGAUAAAAAACCAACGCCCUUCGGGGCUUCUUGGUGAUUCAUGAUAUCUUUACGGAUCGCAUGGCCUUGCGCCGGCGACGGUUCAUUCAAAUUUCUGCCCUAUCAACUUUCGAUGGUAAGGUAUUGGCUUACCAUGGUUUCAACGGGUAACGGGGAAUUAGGGUUCGAUUCCGGAGAGGGAGCCUGAGAAACGGCUACCACAUCCAAGGAAGGCAGCAGGCGCGCAAAUUACCCAAUCCCGACACGGGGAGGUAGUGACAAUAAAUACUGAUACAGGGCUCUUUUGGGUCUUGUAAUUGGAAUGAGUACAAUUUAAACCUCUUAACGAGGAACAAUUGGAGGGCAAGUCUGGUGCCAGCAGCCGCGGUAAUUCCAGCUCCAAUAGCGUAUAUUAAAGUUGUUGCAGUUAAAAAGCUCGUAGUUGAACCUUGGGUCUGGGUGGCAGGUCCGCCUCACCGCGUGUACUUGUCCGGCCGGGCCUUCCUUCUGGAGAACCUCAUGCCCUUCACUGGGCGUGUUGGGGACCAGGACUUUUACUUUGAAAAAAUUAGAGUGUUCAAAGCAGGCCUUUGCUCGAAUACGUUAGCAUGGAAUAAUAGAAUAGGACGUGCGGUCCUAUUUUGUUGGUUUCUAGGACCGCCGUAAUGAUUAAUAGGGACAGUCGGGGGCAUCAGUAUUCAAUUGUCAGAGGUGAAAUUCUUGGAUUUAUUGAAGACUAACUACUGCGAAAGCAUUUGCCAAGGAUGUUUUCAUUAAUCAGUGAACGAAAGUUAGGGGAUCGAAGACGAUCAGAUACCGUCGUAGUCUUAACCGUAAACUAUGCCGACUAGGGAUCGGGCGAUGUUCUUUUUCUGACUCGCUCGGCACCGCACGAGAAAUCAAAGAGCUCGGGGUCGGGGGGGAGCACGGACGCAAGGCUGAAACACAAAGAAAAAGACGGAAGGGCACCACCAGGCGCGGAGC
rnacentral:rRNA from 1 species